CCUACGGGAGGCAGCAGUAGGGAAUUUUCCACAAUGGACGAAAGUCUGAUGGAGCAACGCCGCGUGAGUGAAGAAGGUUUUCGGCUCGUAAAGCUCUGUUGGUAGUGAAGAAAGAUAGAGGUAGUAACUGGCCUUGAUUUGACGGUACUUACUUAGAAAGUCACGGCUAACUCCGUGCCAGCAGCCGCGGUAAUACGUAGGUGGCAAGCGUUGUCCGGAUUUAUUGGGCGUAAAGCGAGUGCAGGCGGUAUGAUAAGUCAGAUGUGAAAGCCUUCGGCUCAACCGGGGAAUUGCAUCAGAAACUGUUGAACUGGAGUGCAGAAGAGGAGAGUGGAACUCCAGGUGUAGCGGUGGAAUGCGUAGAUAUAUGGAAGAACACCAGUGGCGAAGGCGGCUCUCUGGUCUGCAACUGACGCUGAGGCUCGAAAGCAUGGGUAGCGAACAGGAUUAGAUACCCUAGUAGUC
rnacentral:rRNA from 1 species